GCCCUCUUAGCUCAGUGGUAGAGCACCUCCAUGGUAAGGAGGGGGUCCGCGGUUCAAUCCCGCGAGAGGGCU
rnacentral:tRNA from 1 species